UACGGAGGGUGCAAGCGUUAUCCGGAUUUACUGGGUUUAAAGGGUGCGCAGGCGGAUAUGUAAGUCAGUGGUGAAAAUCUCUAGGCUUAACCUGGAAAUUGCCGUUGAUACUAUAUAUCUUGAAUGUUGUGGAGGUAAGCAGAAUAUGUCAUGUAGCGGUGAAAUGCUUAGAUAUGACAUAGAAUACCUAUUGCGAAGGCAGCUUACUACGCAGAUAUUGACGCUCAUGCACGAAAGCGUGGGGAUCAAACAGG
rnacentral:rRNA from 1 species